rnacentral:misc_RNA from 1 species
AACUUUUGACAAUGGAUCUCUUGUCUCUCGCAUCGAUGAAGAACGCAACGAAAUGCGAUAAGUAAUGUGAAUUGCCGAAUUCAGUGAAUCAUCGAAUCUUUGAACGCACCUUGCGCCCUUUGGCUAUUCUGAAGGGCAUGCCUGUUUGAGCCUCAUAAACAUCUCAACUCUCACAGAUUCCUGUGAUGAGAUUGGACUUUGGGGGUCUUGUUGGCUUGUGUUCAGCUCCCCUCAAAUCUAUCAGCUUCCCAGUGUUUGGCAGCAUCACAGGUGUGAUAAAUAUCUACGCUUGUGGUUCUUUGCCAGGUCUGUCCUCUCCUUGCAGAGGGCUCGCUGUAGCUCAUAGAUGUCUCUCCUUGGUGGAGACAGCUGUUUGAAGUUUGGUCUCAAAUCAGGUAGGAUUACCCGCUGAACUUAAGCAUAUCAAUAAGCGGAGGCU